ACUCAAAGGAAUUGACGGGGGCCCGCACAAGCGGUGGAGCAUGUGGUUUAAUUCGAUGCAACGCGAAGAACCUUACCCAGGUUUGACAUGCACAGGACAGGUGUGGAGACACACCCUCCCUUCGGGGUCUGUGCACAGGUGCUGCAUGGCUGUCGUCAGCUCGUGUCGUGAGAUGUUGGGUUAAGUCCCGCAACGAGCGCAACCCUUGUCCCUAGUUGCCAGCGAGUACAGUCGGGCACUCUAGGGAGACUGCCGUCGAUAAGGCGGAGGAAGGUGGGGAUGACGUCAAGUCCUCAUGGUCCUUACACCUGGGGCUACACACGUGCUACAAUGGUCGGUACAAAGGGUUGCAAUGCCGCGAGGUGGAGCCAAUCCCAAAAAGCCGGCCUCAGUUCGGAUUGCAGUCUGCAACUCGACUGCAUGAAGGCGGAAUCGCUAGUAAUCGCUGAUCAGCAGGCAGCGGUGAAUAUGUUCCCGGGCCUUGUACACACCGCCCGU
rnacentral:rRNA from 1 species